rnacentral:rRNA from 1 species
UACGAAGGGGGCUAGCGUUGCUCGGAAUCACUGGGCGUAAAGCGCACGUAGGCGGUCUUUUAAGUCAGGGGUGAAAUCCUGGAGCUCAACUCCAGAACUGCCUUUGAUACUGAGAGGCUUGAGUCCGGGAGAGGUGAGUGGAACUGCGAGUGUAGAGGUGAAAUUCGUAGAUAUUCGCAAGAACACCAGUGGCGAAGGCGCUCACUGGCCCGGUACUGACGCUGAGGUGCGAAAGCGUGGGGAGCAAACAGGG